rnacentral:rRNA from 1 species
CAGGUCGGCCGGUGGCCCUAUAAACUCUUUGUUUUUACCAUGUAUCUUCUGAGUAAACAACUAUAAAUGAAUCAAAACUUUUAACAACGGAUCUCUUGGUUCUGGCAUCGAUGAAGAACGCAGCGAAAUGCGAUAAGUAAUGUGAAUUGCAGAAUUCAGUGAAUCAUCGAAUCUUUGAACGCACAUUGCGCCCGCUGGUAUUCCAGCGGGCAUGCCUGUUCGAGCGUCAUUUCAACCCUCAAAACCUCGGUUUUGGUGUUGGAGGAAUACUUGUUAAAGAGUACCCUCUGAAAUUUAGUGGCGGGCUCGCUAGAAUUUUGAGCGUAGUAAUUUUCAUACCUCGUUUAUAAAGACUAGCGGUGCUUCUUGCCGUAAAACCCCCCAACUUUCUGAAAAUUGACCUCGGAUCAGGUAGGAAUACCCGCUGAACUUAAGCAUAUCAAUAAGCGGAGGAAAAGAAACCAACAGGGAUUGCCCCAGUAACGGCGAGUGAAGCGGCAACAGCUCAAAUUUGAAAUCUGGCUUCGGCCCGAGUUGUAAUUUGCAGAGGAUGUUUAUGGUGCGGUACCUUCCGAGUUCCCUGGAACGGGACGCCACAGAGGGUGAGAGCCCCGUCUGGUUGGAUACCAAACCUGUGUUAAACUCCUUCAACGAGUCGAGUAGUUUGGGAAUGCUGCUCUAAAUGGGAGGUAAAUCUCUUCUAAAGCUAAAUACCGGCCAGAGACCGAUAGCGCACAAGUAGAGUGAUCGAAAGAUGAAAAGCACCUUGAAAAGGGGGUUAAACAGUACGUGAAAUUGUUAAAAGGGAAGCGUUUAUGACCAGACUUGUGUCGUGUGGCUCAUCCGAGGUUCUCCCCGGUG